rnacentral:rRNA from 1 species
UACAGAGGUCCCGAGCGUUGUUCGGAUUCAUUGGGCGUAAAGGGUGCGUAGGUGGCGCUGUAAGUGGGGUGUGAAAUCCCGGGGCUUAACUCCGGAACUGCGUUCCAUACUGCGGUGCUUGAGGACUGGAGAGGAGACUGGAAUUUACGGUGUAGCAGUGAAAUGCGUAGAGAUCCGGAAGAACACCGGUGGCGAAGGCGGUCGACUGGGCCAGUACUGACGCUGAGGCGCGACAGCGUGGGGAGCAAACAGG